rnacentral:rRNA from 1 species
AGAGUUUGAUCCUGGCUCAGGAUGAACGCUAGCGACAGGCUUAACACAUGCAAGUCGAGGGGCAGCGAGGGAGUGGCAACACUUCUGUCGGCGACCGGCGCACGGGUGAGUAACGCGUAUGCAACCUGCCCUUCACAGGGGGAUAACCGGGAGAAAUUCCGACUAAUACCGCAUACGUCCUCCGGGGGCAUCCCCGGGGGAUGAAAGAAUUAUCGGUGAAGGAUGGGCAUGCGUGAUAUUAGGUAGUUGGCGGGGCAACGGCCCACCAAGCCCACGAUAUCUAGGGGUUCUGAGAGGAAGGUCCCCCACAUUGGUACUGAGAUACGGACCAAACUCCUACGGGAGGCAGCAGUGAGGAAUAUUGGUCAAUGGACGAGAGUCUGAACCAGCCAAGUCGCGUGAAGGAAGACGGAUCUAUGGUUUGUAAACUUCUUUAGUGCGGGAACAAAGCGGCGUCGAGACGCCUGAUGAGUGUACCGCAAGAAUAAGCAUCGGCUAACUCCGUGCCAGCAGCCGCGGUAAUACGGAGGAUGCGAGCGUUAUCCGGAUUUAUUGGGUUUAAAGGGAGCGCAGACGGGUCGUUAAGUCAGCUGUGAAAGUUUGGGGCUCAACCUUAAAAUUGCAGUUGAUACUGGCGUCCUUGAGUGCGGUUGAGGUGUGCGGAAUUCGUGGUGUAGCGGUGAAAUGCUUAGAUAUCACGAAGAACUCCGAUUGCGAAGGCAGCACACUAAUCCGUAACUGACGUUCAUGCUCGAAAGUGUGGGUAUCAAACAGGAUUAGAUACCCUGGUAGUCCACACGGUAAACGAUGGAUACUCGCUGUUGGCGAUAUACUGUCAGCGGCUUAGCGAAAGCGUUAAGUAUCCCACCUGGGGAGUACGCCGGCAACGGUGAAACUCAAAGGAAUUGACGGGGGCCCGCACAAGCGGAGGAACAUGU